UGCGGGGGUUAACAACUAAAUCAAGCAUUUCUUCUUCUUUUUCAAUCUUUUUACAAAUGGAAAAGAAAUUGAAUGGUGUGUUUUGGUGUGUUGGGGUAUUAGGGUUAGUGACAGUGGUUUUAACAGUGCAUGCAAUCACAUGCGAAGAAGCCGUACAAACACUGAUGCCAUGCGGGGCAUACUUGACGACCCCUGCACCCUCACCCACCCUCGCUUGUUGUCAAGCCGUGGCUAGCGUUAAUGCAUCGGUCAGCACCACUCAGUCACGUAGGGAUCUGUGCGAAUGUUUCAAAAAGAAGGCCCUAGUUUAUGGGGUUGAUCCUUAGAAAGCCAAGCAACUUCCUGGUUUGUGUGCUGCUCAAGUUCCUUUUCAGUGUGAUCCAUCAGUCGAUUGUCAGCACGUCCUAUAGGCAUAGGCAAUGGAGUUACAAGGCAUUCCACCCCCCAAGAAUAAACAGAAGAGCAAGCAUCAAUAACUUCAGAAAGGAAUUCAUUAACUUUGUGUUGCGGAGGACUUUCGUUUCUUGUUUAUCUGAUAUGAGAUAUUUAUGAACAAUAAAAAGAAUUAUCCUUUUUUGAAAAAUGUUAUGAUAUUUUAGCGCUAAAAAUAUAGACUUCAAAAUUUUAUAAUA